CAGUAGCCGCGGGAAUACAGAGGGUGCGAGCGUUAAUCGGAUUUACUGGGCGUAAAGCGUGCGUAGGCGGCUAAUUGAGUCGGAUGUGAAAUCCCCGAGCUUAACUUAGGAAUUGCAUUCGAUACUGGGAAGCUAGAGUAUGGGAGAGGAUGGUAGAAUUCCAGGUGUAGCGGUGAAAUGCGUAGAGAUCUGGAGGAAUACCGAUGGCGAAGGCAGCCAUCUGGCCUAAUACUGACGCUGAGGUACGAAAGCAUGGGGAGCAAACAGGAUUAGAUACCCCAGUAGUCCCUGUCUCUUAUAA
rnacentral:rRNA from 1 species